rnacentral:lncRNA from 1 species
UCAGCAAUCUGAACAGCAAAACUGGCACCAGCCUGUUUCAGCUGCUUGCUGUUAAUGCUUGAAGAGAAGCAAGAUGCACUGAAUUGCAGGAUGGGCAGUGGCUACAGGAAACCUUUAACAAGGUGCUUCUGGGAUGUUAUCCAUUCUCUGCAGCAUCCUUAAACUCCAUGCUCAGGGUCAUCUUCAAAAGCUGAAUUUGCAACAGAGCUGCUGUGGCACUGUGGAUCAAACACAUCUGGACUUACUUUUAUGCCUCUGAGGUAAACAGUUGCCUGCUGCACUACAUAAAUAGUGAAAGAAAAACUCUCUUUCAGGAAAAGACCUGACCAGAAUGAACUGAGGGUAACCGCAGGCUGCUGAGGACAGCCUGGCACAGGCAGCUCCUGGGAGAGCACUACAUGUGCUGCCGUUUUUGC